UGGCUUAGCAGGCUCAGACAGAGCGGAAGAGUGGGAAGAGACAGACAGAGCGAGAGAAGAAGAAGAAGAUUCUGGCAGAGAGGAGGAAGGUGCUGGCCAUCGACCACCUGAAUGAAGACCAGCUGAGAGAGAAGGCCAAGGAGCUAUGGCAGAGUAUCCACAACCUGGAGGCCGAGAAGUUCGACCUGCAGGAAAAGUUCAAGCAGCAGAAAUACGAAAUCAACGUUCUGCGAAACAGGAUCAACGACAACCAGAAAGUCUCCAAAACUCGUGGGAAGGCCAAAGUCACCGGGCGUUGGAAAUAGAUGGAACUGUGUUCGACAAAGCUCUGCUCCUUGCCUGUGCCCUUGCCCUGUGAAUCCCAGCUCUAGGUCUUGCCAGGCACCCGAUGCAGACUCCUGUCUGGAAAGUAGGAGCUGACCUAGCUAGAAGCCAGUACUCUGCCUGACCCCUAUGCCCACACCACGUCAGGAAUAAAAAGCCAGCACAUUGUGCAC
rnacentral:lncRNA from 1 species